GAUGAACGCUGGCGGUAUGCUUAACACAUGCAAGUCGAACGGACUCUUCGGAGUUAGUGGCGGACGGGUGAGUAACGCGUGAGAAUCUGGCUUUGGGUUCGGGACAACCACUGGAAACGGUGGCUAAUAACGGAUGUGCCGAGAGGUAAAAGAGAAAUUGCCUGAAGAUGAGCUCGCGUCUGAUUAGCUAGUUGGUGAGGUAAAGGCUCACCAAGGCAGCGAUCAGUAGCUGGUCUGAGAGGAUGACCAGCCACACUGGGACUGAGACACGGCCCAGACCCCUACGGGAGGCAGCAGUGAGGAAUUUUCCGCAAUGGGCGAAAGCCUGACGGAGCAAUACCGCGUGAGGGAAGAAGGCUCUUGGGUUGUAAACCUCUUUUCUUAGGGAAGAACAAAAUGACGGUACCUAAGGAAUCAGCAUCGGCUAACUCCGUG
rnacentral:rRNA from 1 species